CCGAGUUUACAACUCCCAAACCCCUGUGAACAUACCACUUGUUGUCUCGGCGGAUCAGCCCGCUCCCGGUAAAACGGGACGGCCCGCCAGAGGACCCCUAAACUCUGUUUCUAUAUGUAACUUCUGAGUAAAACCAUAAAUAAAUCA
rnacentral:misc_RNA from 1 species